UAACCUAUUCUUAAUCCAACAUCGAGGUCGCAAUCAAUUUUAUCAAUUUGAACUAUCCAAAAUAAUUACGCUGUUAUCCCUAAAGUAUCUUAAUCUAAUGUCAUUAUUAAUGGAUCAUUAAUUCAUAAAUAUGUAAAAUAUAAAUAUAAAAGUUAAUUAAAUUUUACUAUCACCCAAUAAAAUAAAUAUAUUAAUUAAUAUUAAAAUAUCCUUAAUAAUAUUAAUUAAUUUAUUAUAAAGAUUUAUAGGGUCUUCUCGUCUUUUAAACUUAUUUUAGCUUUUUAACUAAAAAAUAAAUUUCUAUUAUAAAUUCAUAUGAAACAGUUAAUAUUUCGUCCAACCAUUCAUUCCAGCCUUCAAUUAAAAGACAAUUUAUUAUGCUACCUUUGUACAGUCAAUAUACUGCAGCCGUUAAAUUAUUCAAUGGGCAGGUCAAACUUUUUAAAAAUACUCAAAAAGACAUGUUU
rnacentral:rRNA from 1 species